rnacentral:rRNA from 1 species
AUGGUACGACGUACGAGCGUGGGCGCUCAACCAGCUGCCACCGCCCCCGCCUCCUGCAAUUUAGGGAUUACAAUCACAAGAUACAAGAAUUGGGGAAGGAUGAAGAAGGGGAAGAAGAUAGCCGCCGCCGGGUUCAUUGAUCCACUGGAUAACCAGAACGAUGUCUACUCACUGGUACUUGUAGUCUGCAGCUUUAGUGGUUCCCCGAUAGGCCAGGCCCAUGUACCGGUGGAGGGACAAGCCCACAACCCACCUAGUAGAGGCUCCUGA